UACGAAGGGGGCUAGCGUUGCUCGGAAUCACUGGGCGUAAAGGGUGCGUAGGCGGGUCUUUAAGUCAGGGGGGAAAUCCUGGAGCUCAACUCCAGAACUGCCUUUGAUACUGAGGAUCUUGAGUUCGGGAGAGGUGAGUGGAACUGCGAGUGUAGAGGUGAAAUUCGUAGAUAUUCGCAAGAACACCAGUGGCGAAGGCGGCUCACUGGCCCGAUACUGACGCUGAGGACCGAAAGCGUGGGGAGAAAACAGG
rnacentral:rRNA from 1 species